GGGCGAGUGGCGGAAUUGGCAGACGCGCACGGCUUAGGACCGUGUGCCGUAAGGCUUGGAGGUUCGAGUCCUCUCUCGCCCA
rnacentral:tRNA from 1 species